GUGGGGAAUCUUCCGCAAUGGGCGAAAGCCUGACGGAGCAACGCCGCGUGAGUGAAGAAGGUCUUCGGAUCGUAAAGCUCUGUCGAAGGGGACGAACGUGGGUUCUAUCAACAACGGAACCUAAUGACGGUACCUUUCAAGAAAGCCACGGCUAACUACGUGCCAGCAGCCGCGGUAAUACGUAGGUGGCGAGCGUUGUCCGGAAUCAUUGGGCGUAAAGGGAGCGCAGGCGGGAAAUCAAGUCCAUCUUAAAAGUUCGGGGCUCAACCCCGUGAUGGGAUGGAAACUGGUUUUCUUGAGUGCAGGAGAGGAAAGCGGAAUUCCUAGUGUAGCGGUGAAAUGCGUAGAUAUUAGGAGGAACACCAGUGGCGAAGGCGGCUUUCUGGACUGUAACUGACGCUGAGGCUCGAAAGCGUGGGGAGCGAACAGG
rnacentral:rRNA from 1 species